rnacentral:rRNA from 1 species
CCAAGGGUAUGCCUUAGUAAGCGGCGAGUGAAGCGGCAAAAGCUCAAAUUUGAAAUCUGGCUCUUUCAGAGUCCGAGUUGUAAUUUGAAGAAGGUAUCUUUGGGUCUGGCUCUUGUCUAUGUUUCUUGGAACAGAACGUCACAGAGGGUGAGAAUCCCGUGCGAUGAGAUGAUCCAGGCCUAUGUAAAGUUCCUUCGAAGAGUCGAGUUGUUUGGGAAUGCAGCUCUAAGUGGGUGGUAAAUUCCAUCUAAAGCUAAAUAUUGGCGAGAGACCGAUAGCGAACAAGUACAGUGAUGGAAAGAUGAAAAGAACUUUGAAAAGAGAGUGAAAAAGUACGUGAAAUUGUUGAAAGGGAAGGGCUUGAGAUCAGACUUGGUAUUUUGUAUGUUACUUCUUCGGGGGUGGCCUCUACAGUUUAUCGGGCCAGCAUCAGUUUGGGCGGUAGGAGAAUUGCGUUGGAAUGUGGCACGGCUUCGGUUGUGUGUUAUAGCCUUCGUCGAUACUGCCAGCCUAGACUGAGGACUGCGGUUUAUACCUAGGAUGUUGGCAUAAUGAUCUUAAGUCGCCCGUCUUGAAACAC